AUUGAACGCUGGCGGCAGGCUUAACACAUGCAAGUCGAACGAGUGGCGGACGGGUGAGUAAUGUCUGGGAAUCUAGCUUAUGGAGGGGGAUGACUACGGGAAACGGUAGCUAAUACCGCGUACCAUAGGAUGAGCCCAAGGGGGUUUAGGUAGUUGGUGGGGUAAAGGCUCACCAAGCCGACGAUCCCUAGCUGGUCUGAGAGGAUGACCAGCCACACUGGGACUGAGACACGGCCCAGACUCCUACGGGAGGCAGCAGUGGGGAAUAUUGCGCAAUGGGGGCAACCCUGACGCAGCCAUGCCGCGUGUAUGAAGAAGGCCUUAGGGUUGUAAAGUACUUUCAGCGGGGAGGCGUUACCCGCAGAAGAAGCACCGGCUAACUCCGUGCCAGCAGCCGCGGUAAUAC
rnacentral:rRNA from 1 species